GCCAUGGCUCAGUGGUAGAGCAUUCACUUUGCAUGCAGAAGGUCCCUGGUUCUAUUCCUGGUAUCUCUG